CGCACCACUGCCUUAAGGCAUACAAGAGUCUGGAUGCCUACAAAUAUUUUACAGCAGGUUUUGUGCAUGAUGGGCUGAUAUGGCAGAUUCCAAACAAUAAUCGAUUUCUUCUCAUGACCAAGCCAGCCACUUUUUCACCAUUUUGUUUGGAAGACCAGCUGACCAUCGAAGAGAAUUCACCACAAUUUUUGGCGUCACGAACAGUUCUCUUGUCCUUCGGGGAGCCCUCGCUCGCCUGGGUGCGAGCAUCGAGCGUCCGGCCGGCAGGCUGAGUUUGAGUGCCAGGAUCCCUGAAAACUCGAUCCCGAGACUCCGCCUGCAGCCGUGGACGACUACAAAACGGUGCCUGGCUUUGAGGCACCUUUGACCUUUGGCAAGGACAAAGAAAGACUGUCGAGCGUCCGGCCGGCAGGCUGAGUUUGAGGUGAGAAGCUUUCACUCACAGUAUUACGAGGUGCUCGUCACUGGUGUGGGGGGGAUGGAGUGGCUCCUAAGCGGGACAGUUAAUGGGCCUGGUGUGCCAGUGGCUGGCGAAAAAGGGGGGGAUUUGUCUCCCCUAGCUGGAUGUCGACGAGAUGUGGAUUUUGGAGUAGCCCCAAUAGGAAAAUGAAAAUGUUCAAUAAAAAUAGAAAAAAGGAAAAAAGGCAAAUAAAAAUGGAAAAAUAGCAUAAAACGUAAUGGGGAAUGUGCACAACAGUGUGAGUGACAUGUCUGGUGUGAAUGAUGAAUGAUAAAGAAAAAUGCCCCGAGAGAGAGGGCACGUGAAACAGGACAGGAUGUCUUAGACAUUACUGAUCGGCUGUCACGAGAGAAUAAUAAUAGAAAGUCCCAUAAAACGUGGAAUUUCUUUUGGCGACACAUCCGAUGGAGGAUGGAAAUUUUAGCUGUGUGAUUGAGGCGAAAACACAGGUACGAUUGAACACUGUGCGACAAGAGACGUGCACCACCAAGCCACCAGAGGCACAAUUCCCGGGGUCAUACUGGGACGUUGAGAUCACACCCAAUGUGGUCGUUGAGAUGUUUGGUGGGGGCAUUUGUCUCUAUAAAGGUCGCACGAAAAUGGGAGGCUUGCUGCAGACCGCAAUUGGCAGAGCGGAGGAGUGUGCAGCCUUGGCAUCCAUAGCUGUGUGAACGAAUGUGGGAGAAUUACCGGCUGGUUCUGGGACCAGGGCGCCAAAGACAAUGAUGCGCGCAGACCACGUUAUUUGAGCACUGAUCAGAUUAGGAGUUUG